GACUCCUUGGCGCAACGGUAGCGCGUUCGACUCCAGAUCGAAAGGUUAUCCGUUCAAAUCGGGUAGGGGUCA